rnacentral:tRNA from 1 species
UACUUAAUAAUUUAAUAAAAUAUUCACCUUGGACGUGAAAAUUCUCCCAUAAAAUC